AAAGGUCCAUGUUCAAUUCUUGGAUGAUCAUAUCUAUAUAUAUUUCACAUAUCAUAUAGGUAGCUAUACGUGUAUCAUGUUUAAUGUCACCUUCUUUGCUUGAGUUCAUAUCAUGUGGGAGCUAAGAUAAUGUUUUGGAGCAAACGGGUAAACGAGGCCUACAAUUAAAGAUUUAUUUCAAAGAAAGACUCAUAACCAAAGUUCAAUUCUUGGAUGAUCAUACCUAUAAAUAUAUGGCAUAUCACAUUGAGGUCAUAUCAUGUGGGAGCUAAGACAAUGUUUUGGAGUAAAUUGGUAAACGAGGCCUAAAAUUAAACAUUUAUUUUGAAAGUAAGACUCAUAUGCAAAUACAAAAAAUAAGGUAAAUACAAUAAAGAACAAAAAGACAAAAAAUAAGGAAAGUUCACAAAAACAUUUGUGAGGCCCAAAAUUGAGCCAGUGACUCCAUGGACUACACCAACAUACUAAACCAUUGGGGUACUCAUAUUUUUAUGCUAAAUAACCAUAUUCAUAUUAUUUGAACAGUGUAUAAACCUAAGUCAUCAAUGCAAAUAAGCCACUGGUUCGCCUCCCAAUUUUCCCACUAAUCCCACCACCCCUUGAAAUCUCCCCUCCAUAUUUCCUAACAAAAGCAACUGAAAGGCCGGCACUCUACCC
rnacentral:lncRNA from 1 species